CACACACUUACAUAUAUGUAUAUACAUAUAUAUUUGAGGAGAUCCACAUGGGUCGCAAGAAUAGGUUGACAGGAUAGACUCUUCUAAUAGACUUUGCAGACGGACAUAAUAGAAAUAUUUAAUAUAUAGCAUCAUAUAUUAAUAUAAUAUUUAGUAAUAAUAUAAUAUCUAUUAUAUAUUAAUAUGUAUGAUAUUUUUUUGUUUGUUUUUAAUAAUAGCAUCCUUUCUCUUCUCGCUUUGUCUGAGGUGUGAUAUCCAGCGAUUUUCUAAUUUUCCUUACAUUCAAAUUCAGUACAGGAUGCAUUUUGUACGACCUGUUGACUUAUACAACCAUCGUCUGGUCGUUUCACAACGUAUGCGUAUUCUACCAUAGAAACAAAUAUACACGAUUUCUUCCGAAAUGCUUCUAAUCGAAGAUAAAAAUAAACGAUUUUCAUGUCCGAUCUUAAAUAAAAAGUACCUAAAGUUUACGUAACAAAUUCUUACGAUCAGUUUAUGCAUUUCUUCGACAAAUUAAACGUGGGGUAGAUGUUGUAUGAAGGAGAAGCGGUGAAUAUCAUAAGAAAGUAUGUUUACUUCUUCUUUGAUUCUUCAGAAGGAUCAACGAGAAUCGAAGAAUUCAUAGGAUCGAAAGACAAUGAUUCAUAAUUUCGGUAAAGUCAUCUAAGAAAUUUACUAACGUUGAAUAUAUAAAUAUUUCGGAGAAAACACCAUUCACAUAAACUUUUCUGUUUCUAGUCAUCAAAGUGUUUCACAAAAAUCGGAACAAUUUAAUUUAAGAUUAAACAGAUUCUAUUUUAAAGGUAAGUGGUAAAUGAGAUAUAUUCAUUGAAAGUUCACAGUUUCGUUUGUUAGACACGAGUUUGCAAUAUCAAACAUCAUGAAACAAUUUGAUAUAUCCACUCAAGGUACAAGAAAUAGAAUCGUUUAAUGUGCCACAAUUUAUUUAAUUGAUAUAAGUAAAAUGUUCCGAGAGAUUUAUUCGACGAACUAAGCGAUUCCCUUAAUCGUCUAAUUAUACUAACAAAAAUCAAUGUCUGACGCGCACGAUGCUUGCGAAUGAUGAGAUCUAAAAUGAUGAUGAUGAUCGUCGAUAAAUAAAAGAUAUGCACGGCUACACGCUAAUAGCUAAAAAUUGUCCAGGAACCUUGUUUCAAGCGCGAAUACAGGAGAAAACUGAAACGCACGAUAUACAAAUGAAACGCGUGGAACAAGUGCAAUUUUUCUACGCGCGAUGAAAAUGAAGCUUACUCAGUGUCGCGAGAUUUUUGUACAAAAAUGCUUCGCUGUUCCAGCGAAA
rnacentral:misc_RNA from 1 species